rnacentral:rRNA from 1 species
UCUAGGCUUAGAGGCUUUUUAGAUUUGUGUUUCAUUUGGUUUGGUACCUUUUGCAUCAUGAUUCACGGGGUGAGUUUAAGUAUCUUUAUGUAUCCGAAGGAUAGUGAUUUACUUUCUCUCUGUUUGGAACUUAGGGUUGAUUGGGUUAAUCUUUUGAGAAGAGUUAGUGGAAUGUGAUAAUCAAGUCGUACUAUUUUAUAACUGAUUGGUGCCUCGUUUAUUUCUUAGUUACUUGAUUUGCUUUAAUGUAAUUUAGGGUUUUAGAGAUUUUGUUUAUGUGUUUGUUUUUGGGGGUUUGAGGUACCCUUGUUUGAAUUUGGUGUAAAUACCAUUGUGUUUUUUAUGCUAUCUUAGAUUUAGUUGGUGCCUUUAUUUUAAUCAAUUAUUAGGAUAUCGUGGAAUUAGUAGUUGUGUAUUGUUAUACUUUUUUCUCGUUCUCCUCCCGUCUGUUUAUUAAAAACAUUUCUAUUAGUUGUGUAUUGAUAGUAGUGCCUGCCCAAUGGUCCGAGUGUACUUAAUGGAUGCAGUAUUUUUAACUGUAAGAAAGUAGCAUAAUAAGUUGCCUUUUAAUUGGGGGAUUGUUUGAAUGGUUUGACGAGGGGGUAGAUUGAAAUGUGUGGCGUAGGUCGAAAUUGGAUUACUUGUGCAGAUCCAAGUUGUUGUUAGUAAGACGGAAAGACCCCGGGAGCUUUAUAUUAAUUAUUUGCUUGGGGUGAGAGCAUGUUUUUCACGUGUUUUUGGAUCCUGUUGAUUUUGUGGGGAUAAAGGAUAGAGUUACCCCGGGGAUAACUAAGUAAUGAUAAUGCGAGCCCUUAUCAAAUUAUUAAGUUGCUAUCUCGAUGUUGGCUUAGAGUGAAGAUGGCGGUGCAGUAGUUGCUGUCUGUGGUCUGUUCGACCUUAUUUCUUUAUGAGCUGAGUUAAGACCGGUGUGAGCCAGGUCGGUUCUUAUCUACUUGGGUUGCGGGUUAGUACGAAAGGAUUGCCUGUGGUUUAUGUU